rnacentral:tRNA from 1 species
GGGGUCAUGGCUCAGUGGUAGAGCGCUUGCCUUGCCAUGCUAGACCCUGGGUUCGAUCCUCAGUACCACA